UUACUCUGUUCUUUUUUUUUUAAUGAUCUCUUUGUGUACAAAUCUCUUUCUCCUCUCUGUUUCUGAUUAUACAUAGAAUUUGCUCACUCACAUCGAUUGUUUUUGUUCGAUCUGAUUGUUUUCUCUCGAGCCAGAGAUGGUUCCUUCGUACGGCUUUCCCUUCUGAUAUUAAAAUUUUCUGACAAAGUUUCAUUUGUGCUCUAAGACUGUCUUUUCUACAGAACAAGUUGGAUUUUGGGUGUCUUAACAUUGAUGUGAUGAAAUGGGAGCAGCUGAAGUAAGAGCACUCUGGCAAAGAAGAGCAAGCCGUUGCUUUCUUGUUCAUGAAGAUGCUGCAAUGCCUCCGAGGUUAGCUUGUUGCUGCCACCACCACCAACAACAACAACAUCCUUCUUCUUCUUCUGGCAAAAACAGCUUUUCUUCUACUAGUUUUGGAGAUUCCUCUGAUUUCUCUUCUGAUACCAAAUGGUGGCUUAAGGGAGGAUCAUCUGGUUUUGAUGAGGAGAUUGCAAACUCCUUCCUCCAAGAUACCAAAUUGCAUCAAUUCGUCGACUUAACCGGGGUAAGUAAAGAAGCAAAAGACGAAGAAGAGUAUAGCUUUAUUAGCAAGAAAGAUACAGCUACAACGCCGUGGUGGAGAAGCGCUACGGAUCAAGAUGAGCUAGCUCUCUUGGUGUCCACUAGAUCCGUUGAUCAUCAUAUUCAAAACUGUGAUCUUCCUCCGCCCCAGAAGCUCCACAAGAGCAUUCAAUGCACUACUAAUGGUGAAAAAGGGUUUCAGACAGCAGUUAUUAAAUCACCAUGGAAACAAGGUGCUUGGAGCGAUCGGUUUGAGAGCAGCAGUAAUAGCACAGAUAGCAAGAACACGAGUCCAAAGUCUUCUCCUCAGAGCGAUGAUCUUAUAAGCAAAGCUCAGCUUUUAGAAGCGCUAAGGCAUUCUCAAACCAGAGCAAGAGAAGCAGAGGAGGCUGCCAAAGAAGCUUGCGCUGAGAAAGACCGUUUGAUUACUGUCUUGAUGAGGCAAGCGAGUCAGAUUUUAGCUUACAAGCAAUGGAUAAAGCUUCUUGAAAUGGAAGCUCUCUAUCUGCAUAUGGAGGAGGUGGGAGAACAAGAGCAGAUCGAAGGAAUGAAUCUGAAGAAGAGGAAGCAAAGAGGGAAGAAGAAGAAUAAGAAAAUGGGGGAGUUUGGGAGAUAUGUGAUGGCUUUUGCGUUGGGGUUUAGUCUCAUUGGUGCUGGUCUGCUCUUAGGUUGGACUGUUGGAUGGUUGUUUCCCUUCUAGAGUUUUGAAGAAACGUCUUUUGUUUGAUCACUGACUGAUCUUUGCAGGAGUUUAGGUUUUCACUUUGCCUCUAAAAUUGUGUGUAAUGUGUGUUGUCUUCAUGUAUAUAUGUGUGUGAUGUUUCCUUCCAAGCACCUGGACUGGCUGGCUAUAUGAAAGAUUAUUUGUAAAUAUGAAAAUUUCC